UGACAAAUCUUAUUUUCUCUAUUAAUUAAUACAUAUUGAUUUUUCCGUUUACGUUGAUGCAAACAUCAAACCAAACCAAACAGGCACUAACACGAAGAAGGUAAACUCACAUAUGAAUCAUAAUCAUGAAAAGGGCACUUCCAAACCCCCACCUGUCGACAUAAAAAGCCUCCCUUGGAGCACUAGCAGUCUAGCAUUCCUUCCUUGCAUUACCAUAAAUACUUGGUCGAUGGCUUUAAGCUUUUUCCCAAGAUUCAUAUAAUUAUAGAAGCCUCCCUUUUUCAGGGGAGGAGAAUGGGACUGAAGGUAAGAUAACAAUAGUGGGAGGGAAUCCUGAAGUGGGUGAGAGACUAUAGAGCGUUACAAAUGUCACUCCUAUUGAACCGAAAAAGAAUAAAAAGUUCCAAAAGAAAUCCCAAGCUCCUUGAUCACCUUUCUAUCACCAUCAAUGUUAGUCAAACAUGGCAACAGGUUAUAUCAUCAUAGACACUUAAACAUUUGAUCAUUGGGUCUUUUCUUCGAACCCUUUAAUUACUUGUUUCUUAACGAGUAAUGUGCUAAUUCGUUGACCCCAUAACGAGUCCAUUCCCUUUUGCUUGCUUUGCUUCUCUAGCUAGCGUCUCACGCGUUCUCAAGCACUGAGGCAAAACUAGUCCCACAUGGCCACACAAAGCGACGGACUCAUAGAUAUAUAUAUCAAGUUGAAAGGUGGUCUUGAAAUGAUGGAAAUUUUACGUAUCUUCUUAGGAAGCCUUGUGAUUAUGUUAGUCUAGAUGAUAGUGGACACAUACAGUUAUCCUGAUACAAGAUCUUUAAUCUUCUCUAAUAUUUCUAUGCCUCCCACUGUGUUGUUGAUUACCGUUCACACUAAGAUAUUGAUAGUGUAUUUUUAUUGUCAAACAUCUUUUGUAGAAUCAAAUAAUUAGCAGUAUCUUUAUUAUGUCAAUUCUCCUUUUUCUCUAGCACUUGUAAAAAGUACUUCAGGU
rnacentral:lncRNA from 1 species